rnacentral:rRNA from 1 species
AACGAACGCUGGCGGCAUGCCUAACACAUGCAAGUCGAACGAGACCUUCGGGUCUAGUGGCGCACGGGUGCGUAACGCGUGGGAACCUGCCCUUAGGUUCGGAAUAACUCCCCGAAAGGGGUGCUAAUACCGGUUAAUGUCUUCGGACCAAAGAUUUAUCGCCUUUGGAUGGGCCCGCGUUGGAUUAGCUAGUUGGUAGGGUAAAAGCCUAGCAAGGCGACGAUCCAUAGCUGGUCUGAGAGGAUGAUCAGCCACACUGGGACUGAGACACGGCCCAGACUCCUACGGGAGGCAGCAGUGGGGAAUAUUGGACAAUGGGCGAAAGCCUGAUCCAGCAAUGCCGCGUGAGUGAUGAAGGCCUUAGGGUUGUAAAGCUCUUUUACCCGGGAUGAUAAUGACAGUACCGGGAGAAUAAGCUCCGGCUAACUCCGUG